UACGGAGGGGGCUAGCGUUGUUCGGAAUUACUGGGCGUAAAGCGCACGUAGGCGGCUUUGUAAGUUAGAGGUGAAAGCCCAGGGCUCAACCCUGGAAUUGCCUUUAAUACUGGCGGCCUUGAGUAUGGCAGAGGUGUGUGGAACUCCGAGUGUAGAGGUGAAAUUCGUAGAUAUUCGGAAGAACACCAGUGGCGAAGGCGACACACUGGGCCAUUACUGACGCUGAGGCGCGAAAGCGUGGGGAGCAAACAGG
rnacentral:rRNA from 1 species